AUUGAACGCUGGCGGCAUGCUUUACACAUGCAAGUCGGACGGCAGCACAGAGAAGCUUGCUUCUUGGGUGGCGAGUGGCGAACGGGUGAGUAACAUAUCGGAACGUACCGAGUAAUGGGGGAUAACUAAUCGAAAGAUUAGCUAAUACCGCAUAUUCUCUGAGGAGGAAAGCAGGGGACCUUUUGGCCUUGCGUUAUUCGAGCGGCCGAUAUCUGAUUAGCUAGUUGGUGGGGUAAAGGCCUACCAAGGCGACGAUCAGUAGCGGGUCUGAGAGGAUGAUCCGCCACACUGGGACUGAGACACGGCCCAGACUCCUACGGGAGGCAGCAGUGGGGAAUUUUGGACAAUGGGCGCAAGCCUGAUCCAGCCAUGCCGCGUGUCUGAAGAAGGCCUUCGGGUUGUAAAGGACUUUUGUCAGGGAAGAAAAGGCUGUUGCUAAUAUCGACAGCUGAUGACGGUACCUGAAGAAUAAGCACCGGCUAACUACGUGCCAGCAGCCGCGGUAAUACGUAGGGUGCGAGCGUUAAUCGGAAUUACUGGGCGUAAAGCGAGCGCAGACGGUUACUUAAGCAGGAUGUGAAAUCCCCGGGCUCAACCUGGGAACUGCGUUCUGAACUGGGUGACUAGGGUGUGUCAGAGGGAGGUAGAAUUCCACGUGUAGCAGUGAAAUGCGUAGAGAUGUGGAGGAAUACCGAUGGCGAAGGCAGCCUCCUGGGAUAACACUGACGUUCAUGCUCGAAAGCGUGGGUAGCAAACAGG
rnacentral:rRNA from 1 species